rnacentral:rRNA from 1 species
GGCAACCUUACCAGGAUAAGACAUAAGAAGGAUUGACAGACUGAUCGCUCUUUCUUGAUUUUAUGGGUGGUGGUGCAUGGCCGUUCUUAGUUCGUGGAGUAAUUUGUCUGGUUAAUUCCGUUAACGAACGAGACCUUAACUUGCUAAUUGGGAUGUGUAUUCUAUACAUGAUCCCUCUUAGAAGGACGGUGAAUACAUAAUUCAAGGAAGCGUGAGGCAAUAA